UACGAAGGGGGCUAGCGUUGUUCGGAUUUACUGGGCGUAAAGCGCACGUAGGCGGAUUGGUCAGUUAGGGGUGAAAUCCUGGAGCUCAACUCCAGAACUGCCUUUAAUACUGCCAAUCUCGAGUCCGGAAGAGGUAAGUGGAACUCCUAGUGUAGAGGUGGAAUUCGUAGAUAUUAGGAAGAACACCAGUGGCGAAGGCGGCUUACUGGUCCGGUACUGACGCUGAGGUGCGAAAGCGUAGGGAGCAAACGG
rnacentral:rRNA from 1 species